UGUUACCUACGGGGCGCAGCAGUGGGGAAUAUUGGGCAAUGGGCGCAAGCCUGACCCAGCAACGCCGCGUGAAGGAAGAAGGCCCUCGGGUUGUAAACUUCUUUUAUUCGGGACGAAACAAAUGACGGUACCGAAUGAAUAAGCCACGGCUAACUACGUGCCAGCAGCCGCGGUAAUACAUAGGGGGCAAGCGUUAUCCGGAAUUAUUGGGUGUAAAGGGUGCGUAGACGGAAGAACAAGUUGGUUGUGAAAUCCCUCGGCUCAACUGAGGAACUGCAACCAAAACUAUUCUCCUUGAGUGUCGG
rnacentral:rRNA from 1 species